rnacentral:rRNA from 1 species
ACGGAAGGCAGCAGUGGGGAAUAUUGGGCAAUGGGCGAAAGCCUGACCCAGCAACGCCGCGUGAAGGAAGAAGGCCUUCGGGUUGUAAACUUCUUUUGUCAGGGACGAAGGACGUGACGGUACCUGGCGAAUAAGCAACGGCUAACUACGUGCCAGCAGCCGCGGUAAUACGUAGGUUGCAAGCGUUGUCCGGAUUUACUGGGUGUAAAGGGCGUGUAGGCGGAUUUGCAAGUCAGAUGUGAAAUCCCGGGGCUCAACCCCGGAACUGCAUUUGAAACUGUAGACCUUGAGUAUCGGAGAGGCAAGCGGAAUUCCUAGUGUAGCGGUGAAAUGCGUAGAUAUUAGGAGGAACACCAGUGGCGAAGGCGGCUUGCUGGACGACAACUGACGCUGAGGCGCGAAAGCGUGGGGAGCAAACAGGAUUAGAUACCCUGGUA